rnacentral:lncRNA from 1 species
CCAGGGGCAGAAAGGGACUUAGUGGGGACUGACAGAGGGAUAUUGGGGAAGGCUAUUCCCCUUGUCGGUGGGCAUCCUAAGGAUGCUAAGGAGUGGAUCUGAGAUGACCACUCACGGAUGGUUUGCCUAGUCUUGGGGAGCCAAGACUGUGAUGCAAGUGGUAUUGGACUACCAGUGUGGCAAAGGUGAUUGGGCAUGGCCUUAGCGUAACGGGCUGCUAUGUCGGUGGUACCUUUGAGUGUCGGUCAUGGGAUCGGACACGUGGAGCACUUGGACCAAGUGCAAAUGUUGAGUGGCACGGAUGCCAUUCUCGGGGCUAGCAAGUCCCAAGUCCUGGAUUGGACUUAUGGAGGUUGUGAAUGAGACUCCUCCAAGUGGUCGGAGGUGUGGUUAAGUGACUAAAGUAGAAUGGAAAAUUUAGUCGCUUACAUUUUGGUAUCGGAGCUGUUCCUUAGUCCGACUUUUAUUGGUGCUCAAGUAUAUCACCACUAGUGUUGGCAUCGGAAGGUCCAAGGAGUGGGUCUAUCCUUGAGGAGUAGCAAGUCGGGAAGACAUGGCUCUCCAUUACAGUUCAUGUGUGAACUUGUAGACGAGGUGGUGGAUAGAAAAGGGCCAAUAAUGGAACGACUUUGGGAUCUUGGGAACAGUGCAAGGUUUUCCUCAUUGAGUUGAGGAUGUGAUCCGGAUGAGCAUUUGUCUCAGCAAAUUGGCUAAGGUUGUUGUGGUAAACAACCAAAGUUGGGAUCACGGGAAAGAUAGAGACUCCAAAACAAUAAAGGAGUCACAAGAUUAUCCUCAUAUAGUUGAGGUUGGUGCUCAUGAAUGUGAGACCAAAGGUAAUGACCGUGGUCAAAUACGGAAGAGGACUCAAGUCCUUGAAAUGGUAGCCGGGGUUACCUCUAAUAAAUGCUGGAACAACCCAAGGAGUUGGGGGUGUAUUGAGUGGAUGAGUUGGUAUUCUCAUCACAUGGACAAGUAGUCCUAAGGGGCAAAGGUUGCCCCCAGAGAACAAAAUCAAGUGUCGGAGUAACACUUGUGAAAAUAGUCCUUUUGAGUAGGACAGGAAUGCAAGAUGUGUAUUCCAGUGAGCUAGUGCCUCACAAGUAGGACCUUACGGGUCUGUGGAUUAACCAAGUCCAAAAUUGCUGGAUGACUCAAGUAGAGUCAACGGAUGGUCCUAAAAGGACUGAUGGAAGCAUUUGGACUGAGGUGUGUUGUACCCCACAAAGGAUGGGGGGGGGAUCAUAGGAUCCAAGGAUGAGAACAGAGGGUAUCUCAUCAAUGGCAAAAUAGGCCAUGCUAAAGUUAUGGGAAAGGUGUUCCCAGAAGAAAACAACUCUGACAUAAAGUUGUGUGUGACCUCUAUGGUGCAGUGCUAACGGAUGGUUGGCAUGAGAAAGAGCGGUGUUGGUCUUGGCAAAGACUUAGACACGAAGGGGAAAUGUCAUAGAGGUAGGCUCGUGGAGCCAAUGGUGUGGAGACACCAAAUGUGCCAAGGUGUGAUACCUUGAGGCUAUGUUGGUGGGUUCAUGAGAACCCCUUGCCAAAGGAAUCCCAAUGGAAAUGGGAAUAGCAUAGCCUAAGCUGCAGAGCAUGCAGUUGGAGUGUGGUGACCCAGAUAAUGAUGGAGGUGUGAAAGCACCAAGCAAUGAGUUGUAGGACUUGACAACUAUGAGGCAACUAAGCAAGAGGUGCAAAAUAACUGGUUAAACGGGUAGAAGGUAGCUACCCAAGACUUCUUAAUAGCAUAAGGAAGUUGGAUAUACCCUUACGGGGGAUAAGUUGCUUGUGUUGCGAUAUAGUAAGUCAAUGUCAUAAAAAGAAAUACUCAUUGUCAAGAAAGCCAUCAUUGGGACACCCGGACACUCUAGAACACCAAAAGGUGGUGUUUGAUGUCGCGAGGGCAAUGGUUAAAGCCCAAGGGACUAAGUCCCUAGCGAAUGAUGGAUAGAAGGUGCUAUCCAAAUGUCCAAGGUUGCGGAGACAGGAGAGGACUGUCUACCCGAAUUGGACAAAGCCAAAAAUGGAAUUUUGGCAAGGCUAGUGAUGGGCAUGUAAAGGCCCAUAAGCAACAAUGUAAUCCCAGUGUGUGGGAUUAUAAGGUGAGCAUACCCGGAUUGAGGAACCACUCCCUAGGCUAUUGGGUAGGUCCAUCCCUAAGAAUACUUGCUAAAGCAGGAUAGAAAGUGCAAAGCUAUCCUCCUGGUCUGGAGGAGAAUGACCGAAGGAAAGGUGUGAAGCCAAAGGCAAGUAGUAUUGGGAUGGAAUUGAACCAUAGAAAUCAAAGGGCAUAUCCGAUAGUGGUUAUGAAAGUUGGGAGUGGAGAAUCAAGAGGGUGCUCGAGGAUGUUGUUGCUAGCAACCGUGAUGCCAUGAAGAGUCUAAAAUAUGGAAUUGUCCAUGUUAGACUAUAUGGCAAUUAUAAAGCUUGCGAAAGGGGAGGCCUUAGCAAGCUGAGGGACAGAGCUCCUUCAAGGUUCCCAAAGACGAUUCUAGGUAGCGUAGUACCUAGAAAGGCCAAGUGUAGAUGGUUCAUGGAACGCGCGAAAUUAGAGUGGCGCAGCAGAAGCGUGGUCUUGAAGCUUGCCAUGAGGCAAGGUUAUCAAGGUUAGGGAAGUAGUUCCCGAGUGUUCAAAGAGAGGGCUUUGAACGAAAGUCGAUGGUCAAGGACUUUCACGCUUAUGCAGGAACCAUGUUACAAUGGUCGGAGGACUUGCCAAGUGAGAUUGGCACGUCGGGGGAACAAAGACCCUAGUUGAAGGUGAUAACUUCAAAAAGGGUGGGCCAUGGGGCCGAGCAUGGAGGAGUCCAUGCAUGAUCACAGACAUGUCAAGUGAGAGGACUUGGCAGUGUGGAGGAACUAGGUUCCUAAGCUGUGAUCUGUAGCGCGCUUUAAAAAUAGGUUGGUGCACCGGCGUGGGGAGUCACGCCAGGCAUCUAGUGUGAUGCCGUCCGUAGAUGCAUAUACGGAGGUUGGGUUCGAGUCCCGACCCUCUAGUGCUUGGGUUCGAGUCCCAAAUCACUAGGGCGUGGUGAUGGUUUGGAAUAUGAGGACACUCAUAUUUCGGUGGUCAUGGACUCUCAGUGGGGAGACUGGUUUGGGCACACCGCCAAGCGAGGGAUGCCUCGGAGUCGUGAUGCACGGUUAGAUUGCUUAGUGUGAAAGCUCAGCAUAUCUAACUUGAACACUUUGGUGCAAGUGGCACCAAGGUCGUGGUGAGUGAGAUGGGGACACCUAAUCUCAGUUGCUAUGAACCCUUGGCCAUAAGGGCUAGCUUGGGUGCACCGCCAAGUGUGGGGGAUGCCCCCGGGGUUAUAGUCAACAACUUGGAGGUCUAGAAGACCAAGUACCUCUUGGCAACUCUGUUAAGGUGCCAAGGUGAGAUCACUAGGUGAUCUUAUGGCCAGAUAAGGACAAGGUCCUUGGUUGGCUAAGGAAUGAAGUUCCUGGUUCAAAAUGUUGAAAUUGAACUGUUUAAGGUGGUGUGGCUUGGUCGUGAUAACCAAGUGGGAAGAGCACCUAAGGGAAAUAAACUAUGUCGAUGCGAUGGCAUAGUGAGUCCGAGGAAAGUAGUCUCUAUAAAAGACCCAUGGGAGGGUCACGAAGUUGGGCCGUGGAUAGAGCCCAUAGCAGAAGAUGAUAAAGAGACGUACUAGGGGUGAACAUCCUCCGGACUUGGCAAAGAAGAGUCUUUGCUAUGGAACCGAAACAAUACCUCAAGGAGGGAGGUAGAGAUUCGAUGUUGCUUGGUGCAACAAUCAACGGAUAGGAGCAAAAGAUGAAUGGCCAAGAUAGGGCCGUGGAAUCCCUUGGAAGGAAUCCAAGUGACAAAGUUAGGCGAGGAACACUAAUGUGUUGGACGCUAACAAGUUGCGGGAAAGGAAGUGUGUUUCCAAGGAGGGAUUCCGAAUUGCUCCGAUUUGGCAAAAGUGGAAGCUCCAAGGGAGGGAGCGGUAAGGUAGCCAAAUGAUAGGGCCAUGAACAGCCCUAGCACAAAGUAUGAUAACUGGAACUUUGGCACGAAAUAGAAGAGAGGAUGAUGGUGCCCUCGAGUAGAGAACUUCCUAGGAUGGGAAGUGGAGUUGCACAAAAGGUGCAAGGCAAGGUGUCGGAGACACCUAGGAAAUUGACUCCAAGAAGUCAAAAUUCAAAGUUCCAAAGUGCAAAGGUUAUAUCGAUGGAAAUUGAGACUACUCGAGAAGGAGUAGUGGGUUUGACUUAGAGAAGGGUCUCUAAGAGGUUUAGCGAGAACUAAACCAAUAAAAGGAGAGAACUAAUCCUUGUGGUCCAAUCAGUCUCUAAGUUGGGGAGACUACCCUCCUUAGAGGAUAGGCAAGGCAUAGUGAGCCUUUGGUGUCAAACCAUUGAGGCAUAUGCAAAAGGCAUGGUGAGCCUUCAAUGUCAAACCAUUGACAAAUAUUGGCUAGGUGCCAAGGAUGGAAAUGGUAACACAUACAGGUGUUACUUUACAAAAUGGUUUACCGUUCGAUGAGGACAUCGAACUUCGUCUAUGGGUGGUGGAGUUGUGAGACACAAAAUCCCUAGGCCCCAAAGUGGAGCCGGAAGGGCGCCACAUGGUAGUGGCCGAAGCGAGAGCCAAAAGAGCAUAACACGUUUGGACCAAAAGCUCCGACUUGAAAAGUCAAGAGCGGGAGUGGAACUCCCAACGAAGUGCUCGAGGAACGAGCACGAAGCGAGCAAAAGGCAAGGCUCCAAAAAGGGACCCAAAAGGACCAACACAUGACACGUGGGAGUGUCCGAAAUGGACUCGAGUUGGAGUCCGAAGUGGAGUCCGAGAUGGACUCGAGUUGGAGUCCGAAGUGGAGUCCGAGAUGGACUCGAGUUGGAGUCCGAAGUGGAGUCCGAGAUGGACCCGAGUUGGAGUCCGAAGUGGAGUCCGAGAUGGACCCGAGAUGGAGUCCGAGGUGGACCCGAGAUGGACCCGAGUUGGAGUCCGAAGUGGAGUCCGAGAUGGACCCGAGAUGGAGUCCGAGAUGGGACCCGAGAUGGACCCGAGUUGGAGUCCGAAGUGGAGUCCGAGAUGGACCCGAGAUGGAGUCCGAGAUGGGACCCGAGAUGGAGUCCGAGGUGGACCCGAGAUGGACCCGAGUUGGAGUCCGAAGUGGAGUCCGAGAUGGACCCGAGAUGGAGUCCGAGAUGGAGUCCGAGAUGGAGUCCGAGGUGGACCCGAGAUGGACCCGAAAUGGAGUCCGAGAUGGAGUCCGAGAUGGACCCGAGAUGGAGUCCGAGAUGGAGUCCAAGAUGGACCCGAGAUGGACCCGAGAUGGAGUCCGAGAUGGAGUCCGAGAUGGAGUCCGAGAUGGAGUCCGAAGUCGAGUCCGAGUUCGAGUCCGAGUCCGGAGCCUGAGAGGGUGAAAGCCCAAAGCGUUCGUCUCCCAGACCCUGGGGGGUUUGGUGAGCCCCAAAAGUAUAGUAGGGGGGAGGACUGCAGUGGAGCCAGUUUGGCCAGGAAAGGCCAGUUUGGCCCAGGAAGGCCGGACCCAGUGUUGGGUGAUGAGCUGCCCACUGGGAAGUCCAAGACUAGAGUGAACAUAGACCGACAAGCGGGGUAGCUUGGUGAAGUGUUCAAGAGCCGGCUCUAGUUCCCCCGGGAGAUCGACUGGCCGAUGCUCCCAAUCCAAGUGUGGGUGGCACUACCUACUUGGAUACCUGGUGUGGCUCAACGGAACCCGCUCUAAGCCCAUGGCUAGAGCACCCAAGGGUAGAAGGCGAGGAGAGUACCCAGGUGGCUCGCGUAAGGCCAUGGUGUUCCGAAAUGUUGUCCCAAAGGCCCAGACUGUGGAAAGGAAGAGGAGCAGUCCUCUGGGGUAGUGACCAAGGACACAGUCGUGUGGUGAGGAAGUCCCAGAGGACCGUGGGACUUAGUGGUCGGGCCUGUGGGUCUCGGUCCUGUGGCAGUGUUGGCAAACACGGCCAGGGGCAGAAAGGGACUUAGUGGGGACUGACAGAGGGAUAUUGGGGAAGGCUAUUCCCCUUGUCGGUGGGCAUCCUAAGGAUGCUAAGGAGUGGAUCUGAGAUGACCACUCACGGAUGGUUUGCCUAGUCUUGGGGAGCCAAGACUGUGAUGCAAGUGGUAUUGGACUACCAGUGUGGCAAAGGUGAUUGGGCAUGGCCUUAGCGUAACGGGCUGCUAUGUCGGUGGUACCUUUGAGUGUCGGUCAUGGGAUCGGACACGUGGAGCACUUGGACCAAGUGCAAAUGUUGAGUGGCACGGAUGCCAUUCUCGGGGCUAGCAAGUCCCAAGUCCUGGAUUGGACUUAUGGAGGUUGUGAAUGAGACUCCUCCAAGUGGUCGGAGGUGUGGUUAAGUGACUAAAGUAGAAUGGAAAAUUUAGUCGCUUACAG